rnacentral:rRNA from 2 species
GGGUUGUGAGGUUAAGCGACUAAGCGUACACGGUGGAUGCCCUGGCAGUCAGAGGCGAUGAAGGGCGUGCUAAUCUGCGAUAAGCGCCGGUAAGGUGAUAUGAACCGUUAUAACCGGCGAUACCCGAAUGGGGAAACCCAGUGUGAUUCGUCACACUAUCAUUAACUGAAUCCAUAGGUUAAUGAGGCGAACCGGGGGAAC